rnacentral:lncRNA from 1 species
GAGAAUGCCAAUAAAAUAUGAAAAAUGAAAGGUUGUCGAACAAUCAUUUAUUCACAUGGAAUCAAAUUCGAGAGAUGCUGAUGAAAAAAAGGAACACCAUCAUCAACAACAUAUAAUAGCGGUAACUUAUAAUUUAUAUAGAUUCCUUUGACAUGGUUGUCAAUAAUUUGUAAAUAAAUUGUAAUAUUUGUAAACAAUGCAUGGAAUAAUUGAGUAUUUCUUGAUAUUUGCAUUUGCUAAGGAUAAUUUGAAGAAUCAUUUGGUGAAGGAAAAAUCUAGAAUUGUUUGAGGAUUUUUUUUGAAAAGAAUAUUAUUUUACUAGAAUCUAACACAAGACAUCAACGUAUUGGUUUUUAUUUCCAUAGAUCUUAUCCUUUGAUUUUGAAAAGAAAAGGUCAUAACAAACCACAUUUUGAUUGAAGUUUAUGUUGGAGCCAUAAAACAAUUAUCACAUUCAAGAUGGUUUUCCAUCACCAUACAGAGAUUUUUGUAAACUACUAAUAUUAGAAUUUUGAAUAUGGUUCAUUAAGUUAAUUCUAUGCAAAAAGAGACAUUCUGGUACACUAAUUUGUCUUAUUAACUUGGCGCUUUUGUUAGCAAGAAUCUUUUAUGAAAGAAUGACAACAAAAAUGAGAACCAUGCAUUAAAAAGAGUCGGAAACAUUUUGGUCAAAAUUGGUCGGGGCAAGGUUGGUGGUAAAAUCUAGUGCAUUGGCAACAAAGUCCAAGGUCAUGUCCCCCACCCUUCUCAUCUUGGUCUCUUCAAUGUUUAGCUUCAAAUUCUCAGAUUCCUUCCAAGCGAGCAUGGAUGGAGCCGCCCCUUAUCCACAAAUCUCGCACCUCAACCACUCAUCCCAGCCACCAACCUCGGCCUCCACGUCUCAUCAUCCCCAUGGGUUCUGCCCAAGGCCACGUCUUCACCACUCCCCAAGAAGGCCUG